GUAUCUAUGUUUUGUUUUUAGAGUUGGUUUGUGUUGAUUUAUGAUUAACAACAGAAAAUAUAUUACUUCAACAAAUAUGAUGGCAACUGAAGAAGUUGAAACACCGUUAUUCAUGGUGUCAUAUCGAGGCUUCAGUUCUCCAUGUAAGAAUGGAUGAAAGCACUAAAGAAGCAAAACGAUAAACUUUAAAGCAGAAUUUUGUCAUGCGAUUAUGGUGGCGAUAUGAGAGAACUAAUGUGGCAGAAUAUUACUAUCGUAGAACAGUUUUGCAUCAAAUCAUUGUAUAAUAUUAGUUUUUUGUUGCUUAAAAAUAUUAUGAAAU